rnacentral:rRNA from 1 species
CCCUUAGAGUUUGAUCCGGCUCAGAUUGAACGCUGGCGGCAGGCCUAACACAUGCAAGUCGAGCGGAUGAAGGGAGCUUGCUCCUGGAUUCAGCGGCGGACGGGUGAGUAAUGCCUAGGAAUCUGCCUGGUAGUGGGGGAUAACGUUCCGAAAGGAACGCUAAUACCGCAUACGUCCUACGGGAGAAAGCAGGGGACCUUCGGGCCUUGCGCUAUCAGAUGAGCCUAGGUCGGAUUAGCUAGUUGGUGAGGUAAUGGCUCACCAAGGCGACGAUCCGUAACUGGUCUGAGAGGAUGAUCAGUCACACUGGAACUGUGACACGGUCCAGACUCCUACGGGAGGCAGCGGUGGGGAAUAUUGGACAAUGGGCGAAAGCCUGAUCCAGCCAUGCCGCGUGUGUGAAGAAG